AUGCAUGGGGCCAGUUUCCUCCCAGGACCCUUGUCUUGGAGGGUGGCUCUAAUCCCAGAAAUUUCACCAGUUCAUCUAUUUGAAAUGGAUGCCGAGGACAGGAGGGUAAAAGAAUAUUGCUAUGGGAGCUGGAGCAAGUUAGGGAAAGUCUGGGACCAGUUCCUGUUAGAAGACCCCCCCGCCCCUUUGGCAGUAAAGAAGAAAAUUAACUGAGGGGAUCAAAAUCAUGAGUUCAUGCGCCAAAAGUCAAGGUCUAGUGCUUAUUUAAGAACAUGGGCUUUGGAAUUAAACAUUCUUGUGUUCAGAUCUAGGCUCUUCCUCUGAUUGUCUCUGUGGCUGUGGUCAACUUUCUUAUUCUUUUUGAGUUUUUAGUUCAUGCUGAGAUGGGAAUAUGUGGUGAUGAGAGCAUCAAAUGUGGUACUCGAUACACAGUGGGCAUCUAAUAAAUGACAGAUACUAUUUUUGUAUGAUGCUGGU
rnacentral:lncRNA from 12 species